rnacentral:rRNA from 1 species
CACGUAGGGUGCGAGCGUUGUCCGGAAUUAUUGGGCGUAAAGAGCUCGUAGGCGGUGUGUCGCGUCGGCCGUGAAAACCUGCAGCUUAACUGUGGGCUUGCGGUCGAUACGGGCAUCACUGGAGUUCGGCAGGGGGAGACUGGAAUUCCUGGUGUAGCGGUGAAAUGCGCAGAUAUCAGGAGGAACACCGGUGGCGAAGGC